CCUACGGGUGGCAGCAGUAGGGAAUAUUGCUCAAUGGGGGAAACGCUGAAGCAGCAACGCCGCGUGGAGGAUGAAGGUUUUCGGAUUGUAAACUCCUUUUGUUAGAGAAGAUUAUGACGGUCUCUAACGAAUAAGCACCGACUAACUCCGUGAAAGCAGCCGCGGUAAUACGGAGGUUGCAAGCGUUACUCGGAAUCACUGGGCGUAAGGGGCGCGUAGGCGGGAUAGCAGGUCAGAUGUGAAAUCCUAUGGCUUACCGAUAGAACUUCAUUUGAAAGUGUUAUUCUAGAGUAUGGGAGCGGUAGGUGGAAUGCUUGGUGUAGCGGUAAAAUCCGUAGAGAUCAAAAGGAAUACUCAUUGCGAAGGCGACCUGCGAGAACACAACUGACGCUGAUGCGCGAAAGCGUGGGGAGCAAACAGGAUUAGAUACCCGGGUAGUC
rnacentral:rRNA from 1 species